AUCUGCUGCGGCGAGAUGAAAUGGAUGUGGCUGUCGAUGGCGCCGGCGGUCAGGAUCCGCCCUUCGCCGGCGAUGAUUUCCGUGCCCGGUCCGAUGACGAUGGUGACGCCGGGUUGGGUAUCGGGAUUGCCGGCCUUGCCGAUCGCGGCGAUACGCCCGUCCAGCAGCCCGACAUCGGCUUUGUAGAUGCCGGUAUGAUCAACGAUCAGCGCGUUGGUGAUCACGGUGUCCAUGGCGCCCUCGGCACGCGAGACCUGGCUUUGUCCCAUGCCGUCGCG
rnacentral:sRNA from 1 species